UGCAGUCGAACGGCAGCACGGGAGCAAUCCUGGUGGCGAGUGGCGAACGGGUGAGUAAUACAUCGGAACGUGCCCUGUCGUGGGGGAUAACUAGUCGAAAGAUUAGCUAAUACCGCAUACGACCUGAGGGUGAAAGCGGGGGACCGUAAGGCCUCGCGCGAUAGGAGCGGCCGAUGUCUGAUUAGCUAGUUGGUGGGGUAAAGGCCCACCAAGGCGACGAUCAGUAGCUGGUCUGAGAGGACGAUCAGCCACACUGGGACUGAGACACGGCCCAGACUCCUACGGGAGGCAGCAGUGGGGAAUUUUGGACAAUGGGGGCAACCCUGAUCCAGCAAUGCCGCGUGUGUGAAGAAGGCCUUCGGGUUGUAAAGCACUUUUGUCCGGAAAGAAAUCCCUUGCCCUAAUACGGCGGGGGGAUGACGGUACCGGAAGAAUAAGCACCGGCUAACUACGUGCCA
rnacentral:rRNA from 1 species